rnacentral:tRNA from 1 species
AUCGCUGUGGGCUAAUUGGUAAGCCACAAUGGGAUGCGGGUUCGAUCCCCGUCAGCGAUA